CCCCCCCCCCCCCCCCCCCCCCCCCCCCCCCCCCCCCCCCCCCCCCCCCCCCCCCCCCCCCCCCCCCCCCCCCCCCCCCCCGGGGCAGGGGCAGGGGCAGGGGGUGACUCACGAUCGGUACUGUGCCGUGUAGCGCACGGGGCCCCCCGGCGCCGCCACCGCCGCCCAGCGCAGCUCGCCCCGCAGGUUGUGCGAGCGCACCUCCACCUUCCCCGGGGCCGGCAGAGCGGGGGCGGCCCCUGCGAGCAGCGGGCCGGGCCGGGCUGGGCUGGGCUGCGGCGGCCGCACGCUCCGACCCCGCCAGCGCCAGCGCCGCCACCGCGGUCACCUCCCCUGUCACCGCCUUUGUCACCGCCUUUGUCACCGCCCCUGUCACCGCCCCCGGGGGCGGACCCGGCCCGGCCCCGCCCCGCAGGAUCCGGGACCGGUGCCGGUCCGGGAGGGCGGUGCCGGGGAUCGCCCCGGGGAUUUCUCCGCCGCCGGGCUUGGCUCUGUCCCGGCUCCGGCCCCUCUCCGGAUCCCUCUCCUGCCCCUUGUCCUGUCCUGUCCGGGUAUCUGCCCCUGUCCCUUCCUGCUCCCGCUUUCAUCCUGUGUCCUUGUCCUUGACCUUGUCCCUAUCCCUAUCCCUAUCCCUAUCCCUAUCCCUAUCCCUUUAUCCCUAUCCCUAUCCCUUUAUUCCUAUCCCUUUAUUCCUAUCCCUUUAUCCCUUUAUCCCUAUAUCUAUCCCAUCCCUAUACCAAUACCUAUUCCUAUCCCUAUGUCUAUCCCAAUAUUCCUAUCCCUUUAUCCCUGUCCCAUCCACUGUCCCUUUUCCUGUCCCUGUCCCUGUGGUGGGUGUGAGCACAUCUCACCCCAGGUUACUCCAGCUGCCCAGGGCACAGCAGCAGUUCCUGGUGACACUGAUCCCAAACCUUCAGGCACUGGUGACACUGACCCCACACCUGCAGCCCCUGGUGACACUGACCCCAAACCUUCAGGCAGUGGUGACACUGACCCCACACCUGCAUCCCAUGGUGACACUGACCCCACACCUGCAGCUCCUGGUGACAGUGACCCCAAACCUGCAGCUCCUGGUGACACUGACCCCAAACCUGCAGCCCCUGAUGACACUGACCCCAAACCUGCAAUUCCUGGUGACACUGACCCCAAACCUGCAGCCCCUGAUGACACUGACCCCAAACCUGCAAUUCCUGGUGACACUGACCCCAAACCUGCAGCCCCUGAUGACACUGACCCCAAACCUGCAAUUCCUGGUGACACUGACCCCAAACCGACCCCAUAGGUGACCCCAUAGGUGACCCCACAGGUGACCCCACACCUCCACCCGAUGUCGGUGACAACAAAAACUGUCACAACCGCCGCCGGUGCUGCCUGGGGGCUGCGUCUCCCCGAGCCCGUGACUCGAUUUACCAAAACGCGUUUGAGGAAUUGCCAGCAGGUCUGAGAGCCCCGGCCCUGCUGCGGUUAGAGCAGAUAAAGGGGAUUUCCUGAGCUCAGCCAAAAUCCUCUCCGUGAACCCUUCAGAGGGGAAACGCGCUGGGAGCAUCAUUAUUAAUAUAAUUAUCAUUAUUAACAACAGCAGUAUUGCGUCAGCGGGACUGCCAACAGCGGAAAGGGAGCACGGCCAGGGUAUUUAAAGCAUCUCCAAUUAAUCCUGGUGAUGUUUGGCUGCCCGGGGGUCCCUGGGCACCGCUGCCGCGGGAUUUCCGUGCGGACAAAAGCAGCAGGAGCGGCAGGGCAGGGCAGGGCAGCUCCGAUUCCCCGCGGGUGAAUCACCUGCAGCGCUGGAUUCCGCAUUUUUCUCCCUCCAGGGGCAGAUUCCCGCCUCUCUCUCAGCCCCGGGCUGUUUGCAGGGCGGGGCAGCGAUAAAC
ensembl:lncRNA